UACCUCCGCCGCCGCCCCCAGAAUCUUAUCCCUCUUCCUCAAUCCCCUCCACUACCCCUCCUCUGCAGCCCCACCGUUCCGGCGGUCUCUCCUUCCUCCAUCUCCCCACCUGCGCCCUCCCUCUUACCGAGACUCUCCCGUAGAUCCUCCAGUACCACUCCCAUUGGUAACCCGUCCCUCCCUCCCCCAUCCCACUUGUGGUUCUGAUCUAGGGAGUUCGACGGCGACGGCGACCAUAGGAGCAAUGGCAGCUGCAACUUGGGCACGCGCAGAUCCGGCACAGAGCUCAAGCCCAACGUCGGCCUUGUCGGAGCUGAGCGGCCGUGCGGUGGCCGGUGUACUGCGACGGCUCGCUGGAGGCAGCAGCGAACCCUAGUCGCCAUUGGUCACCAGCGCCUGGCCUACCUCUCCUGUUGGCUUCCUCGACGUCGUGGCCUAGUGCUACUGCGUGACUGCAGUGGCGGCCUUCACCAUUGUCAAGCCCUGAGGUGCACGCUCGUCUCUUUGUCCGGUAUUAAAUAAUACAGUAAGACACACAGGGCAGCUCUAUUAUAUAUGUAGUACUAUUUAUAGGUACAUGCUUUUGAUGGUAUACAUUGUUAAUUGGUGCAUCUAGCACAACUGUCAGGCUCUGUCGUACAUGUAGUUUCUUAGCAAAUUGUGGUGGCAGGCUUGAUAUGGGCUGGAAUUAGGCAACGUAUACCACCCAGUAUGCAGUCUUCAAGUAAUAAUUGUUAUUGUGUGAAAGAAUUCAGUCACUUGGAUCUAUGUAGUUUCUGUCAUCUAUGUAUAGGUUCUCACAGAACAGGAGAUAAGAAUGUCUAAAUACAACAUUUGCCUGAUUAAAGGCAUCCUCUCUUCUGCUGUUAACCGAAAUGCAUGAAUCUCCGCACUUAGCUAUGGUGGUCUUGCAUGGGUAGUUGUAGCUAGAGCAGCGGAGAGUCCCAAAGACGUCUGUAUGCCUCUGUUUUUCUUGUGUUUUUCUACAUAUAUGUGCUUCUUCAAACAUUCUCUGCUUGCUUGCUGAAAUAGUACAACUUCAGUAGUGGAUAACAUAGUGUGUUGACUCUAGAGAGAAGUCAAGGAAUUCUUGUGUGAUGAAGCUGUGGUAUAAAAUACUUCAAAAGACAAUGUAUACAGUGAAGUCUGUACCCUUAUUGAUUCAUUCCGGUGCCAAUCUUACUUACAUGAAUAAACAGUACUGUUGCUUUAUUUUGAAGAGUUGUUUACAUAGUUGAAGUUCUGCAAACUAGUGAGUAUAUUUGUUUCGCCUCUGCACGUGGUUGUUGGCGGUGGGCAUGGCUCCUUUCGGCAACUCUCAAGUGCAGGUCACCGGUAUAUAAGGUUUUUGCAAGUGAAUAAAGUACACAUAAAUCCAAGGCUCCUGUUUCAGAACAGUUACAAGAAAACGCAAAGUGUUGUACUAAUGAUGUUUGUAAAUCCUCCGUGAGCCAUCUAUGUAAAUAUGUAAUUGUUGGGUAAUCUAAACAGUAGUGUGAUGCUAAUAAGCUUCAGCUGCUAUGUGAAAAUUAUAAAACUAUGUAAAUAUCUUUUGUUGGGUCAUCUAAGGAGUAAUGUGAUUGUAAUAA